rnacentral:lncRNA from 1 species
GUAUAUAGGUAUACUUGUUUGGCAGGUGAAAAUAUUUUGGUAUUGAGCCAGUUACAAGGGAAACUCUGCCGGUUUUUCGGUAGAAGUUAACCUUAUUAUUUUAUCGUGUUUUGUAUAGAAGGGCAAAUAGGUCAUAUGUGCCCGACAUUUGCCAGGUGCCGGACACGCACAGGGUCUGGUUCGGAUUCCAAAGCAGAAUUUAGAUCGAGUCCUGUCAACUUGGUAUCAGAGCAUUAGGUUUAAUUUCCUGUAGACUUUGCACUUUGUGCAUCCUCGUUUUCCUGAAAAUCUAUUUCUUGUGACAGUAAAGAUGGGCCCUAAACGUGGCGGUGUCCGUAGAGGGACUAGAUAGUCGUCCCGACAAAGGGGACAGGAUCCCCAGCUUGGGCAGGAGGAAGUUCCUGUUCCUGCACCGGUACCUGAACCGGUAGAGCAGUCUGUUGUUGGAGGCUCGUCAGGAGCCGUACCUGCUGUGCCUACUAUGCAGGGAGAUCCCAACUUCCAACAGACCUUGGAGUUGCUAACGCAGGCUUUAGCCAGGACUAGGCAGCCCAGAUACAUCAUGCAAUUGAGCUAGAUCUGAAGGCAAAGCAAGCCUGUAAGCUACUGGACCCACACGCUCUAUAAUCUCAUAGGGUCCAAUAUAGCGAGGACUUAGUUUCCCUCGCUUCCCAAAUCGCACUACACCUUUCCAAGGUGAUAAUUUCAAAAAUACCCAGUCUCCAACUUCAAAUUGAAGAUCUUUUCUUCUAUUGUCCGCAUAGCUCUUUUGUCGGUCCUGGGCUGUCUUGAGUCGUUCUCUAAUGAUUUGCACUUGUUUCUUGGUCAGUUCAACAUCCUCAGAUACGACCAAUCUGUGUUCACCCACUUCAUCCCAAUAGAAUGGAGUUCUACACUGUCUCCCAUACAAGGCAUCAAAUGGAGACAUUUCGAUAUUCACUUGAUAACUGUUAUUAUAUGCAAACUCCAUAAGUGGUAACUUCUCAUCCCAACCACCCCGAAAUUGAAGCGCACAGGCUCUCAACAUAUCUUCUAAUGUCUGAAUGGUCCUCUCAGACUGACCAUCUGUCUGGGGGUGAAAUGCAGUACUAAACUGCAAUUGGGUUCCAAAAGCUUCAUUUAACUUGGUCCAAAAACGGGAUGUAAACCGUGGGUCACGAUCUGAAACAAUGGAUACUGGUACUCCAUGAAGUCUCACAAUCUCAUCUAUGAAGAUCUUAGCCAGUUUGUUCAAACUAUAAUUUGCUCUCACUGGCAGAAAAUGAGUGGACUUGGUGAGUCGAUCCAUGAUGACCCACACUCCAUCAUGCUUACUAUGUGUUCGGGGAAGCUUGAACACAAAAUCCAUCGUAAUCCGCUCCCACUUGCAUUCAGGAAUCGGAAGUGGUUGCAAUAGCCCUGAUGGUUUCUGUCACUCGGCUUUCACUUACUGACAAAUUAAGCACCUUCUGACAUACUCUACUACUUCUUUCUUCAUAAAAGGCCACCAGUAGUGCUCUCUCAGAGUAUGGUACAUUUUCGUGCUUCCAGGGUGCAUUACAAACGCUGAUUCAUGGGCCUCCUCAAGAAUCUCACUUUUUCGAGCUUUAUCAUUAGGGACAUAUAACCUGUUACCCACCAUUAACACUCCAUCAUUCCUUACGGAACAAUCAGUUUUGUCGCCAUUUGCAACCUCCACUCGCAGCGUACAAAUCAAAGGAUCCUGAGAUUGAGCUGCGAGUAUUCAUUCUACUAGCACUGGUCUCACAUGGAGAGUAGCUAACAGCGCUCCCUGAUUAUCCACAUCUAGCCCAACUCUGAGCUUUCUCAUUUCUACCAUUAAUGGAAAAUAUCUUCCUCAAAGAUAAGCUACAGAUCCUGAAGAUUUCCUACUGAGUGCAUCUGCAACAACAUUAGCUCUUCCUGGGUGAUGCUCGAUGGUACAGUCAUAAUCUUUUAUCAGCUCUAACCAUCUUCUUUGCCUCAAAUUUAAUUCCUUCUGGGUGAACAAAUACUUUAAACUUUUGUGGUCUGUAAAGAUUUGGCAAGUUUUCCCAUAAAGAUAAUGCCGCCAAAUCUUUAAGGUAAAAACUACUGCAACAAGUUCCAAAUCAUGAACUGGAUAAUUCAGCUCAUGCUUCCAGUUGUCUAGAAGCAUAAGCGAUCACCUUAUCAUGCUGCAUCAGCACACACCCAAGUCCUUGUUGAGAAGCAUCACUGUAGAUCACGAAGUUCCCACUAUCAUCCGGAAGUGCUAAAACCGGAGCAGUGGUCAGCCUGGUCUUGAGUUCAAUGAAACUCUCCUCACACUUAUCUGACCACACAAAUUUAACUCCUUUCCUUGUCAAAUAAGUGAGAGGUGCCGCUAUGGUGGAGAAUCCUUCCACGAAGCGAUGGUAAUACCCGGCUAACCCCAGAAAACUCCGUAUCUCAGUAACACUGGUAGGUCGUAGCCAAUUUACUACUGCUUCAAUCUUUUGGGAUCAACAUAAAUGCCCUCUGCAGAGAUCACGUGCCCCAAGAAACUCACUCUAUCCAACCAAAAUUGACACUUGCUGAAUUUGGCAUAAAGUUGCCUCCUUCUUAGAGUUCUCAACACAAGGUUUAAAUGCUUCAUAUGUGCCUUUUGACUCUUUGAAUACACCAGAAUGUCAUCUAUGAAUACAAUCACGAAGCGAUCCAAGUAACGUCGAAACACUCUGUUCAUGAGGUCCAUAAAUGCAGCUAGCGCAUUCGUUAAUCCAAAUGGCAUCACCAGGAACUCAUAGUGCCCAUACCUCGUUCGAAACGCUGUUUUAGGCACAUCCUCUUCUCUAACCCGUAACUGAUGAUAUCCAGACCUCAAGUCAAUUUUGGAAAAUACCUUGGCACCCUUCAGCUGAUCAAACAAGUCAUCAAUGCGAGGCAAGGGAUAUCUAUUCCGCACUGUGAUCUUGUUCAGCUGUCUGUAGUCAAUGCAUAACCUCAUGGUGCCAUCUUUUUUCUUAACAAAUAAUACUGGAGCACCCCACGGAGAAAAACUAGGGCGGAUGAAACCCUUAUCUACCAGCUCCUGUAACUAAGUCUUUAAUUCCCUCAACUCUGCUGGUGCCAUUCUAUAUGGUGCCUGAGAAAUAGGCGUUGUUCCUGGAGCGAGCUCAAUAACAAACUCGAUCUCCCGAUGAGGAGGUAAUCCAGGAAGAUCCUCAGGAAAUACAUCUGGAAAGUCCUGUACGACUGGAAUAUCUUCCAAUCGCAGCCUAUUAUCUCUGGUAUCAAUUACAUGUGCAAGAUAUCCUGAGCACCAUUUUCUGAGCAACCAUUUUGCCGUCAUAGCUGAAAUGAGGCAAGAUUAGCUAGCGCUGACGAUGUCAAGCAAUUCACUAUAUCCACUUUGUACUGAGUCCAAUAAAUCUCUUGACCUUUCUGCAGAACACCACCUAUCAAACGAAUAUCCUGUUUCAAAUAAUUCAACGGAAGCACUCUACGUUCGCCAUAAAAAGUUACUUCAGGUCAUCCGGGACUACGGAAUACAACUACCUUCCUGAAGCAAUCUACUGAGGCACGAUGUCUGGCUAACCAAUCCAUCCCUAAGAUGACAUCCAAGUCAACCAUGCCCAAGGGAAUUAAAUCUGCCUCCAAAAACACAUUUCCCACCAUCACUGUACUAUCGCGAUACACUGUACCUACCCUAAAAAUCUCUCAUGUAGGUACAAAGAUCGCCAGUUCAGUCUGUAGAGCCGAAAGUCUAACAUUGGCAUUAUGGGCAAAACUAGGUGUGACAAAUGAGUGCGUAGCCCCAGGGUCAAUCAAAACUCUAGCAGGAAUGCCAAAAACCGGUAAAAUACCUGUAAUUACAUCGGGUGAUGCAUGUGCUUCCUACUGGGACAUGUUAUACACUCUGCCUGUGGCUCUGGAACUUCCACCACGUCCCCUCGGCUGACUACUGCCUCGACUGGCAACACUGGUCUGAGCACCACCACUGGACGAAGCCUCUACAAACUGUGGUAUCUCCUGUGAUCUACCCUGCAUAACUGUCUCUGGAGUUGACGCAGCUGUGGUCUCUCUAGUCUGAAGGAACAGUGGGCAAUCCUUCCGAAAAUGUCCAGGUUGUCCACAGUAAUAACAUCCGGUAGUACCCUGCUGGCAAGGCCCAGAAUGGUACCUACCACACCUGGCACAUUGGGGGCGACUCCUCCUGCCAGAUCCUGACAGCAACUGUCUUCCAGCACCUCUAACUGCACUACCCCCAGAGCGGGUUCCAGAACUGCUACUUUGGUUGGAACCUCCGCUGGAGUUGAAUCCAGGUCGGUAACCUCCAUAGCUGCGACCACUAGAUGAUCCCGAACUGUAAUUGCCUCUCUUAGAUGAUCCCUGACUAGGACCACCUAUUUCAAACUGCUGCCUACGGAGUUCACCCCGUGGUCUGGCUGUCAUCUGGCUACUUUCAAUCAGCGAGGCAGACAUCACCACUUCACUAAAGUUGGUCAACCACUGACUGAUCACAAUAUCUCGGAUGGAGGCCUUUAACCCCAUAGUGAACAGUUGACACUUCUUACUUUCAUCCUCCACCAGUGGAAGACAAUACUUAGACAGAUCAUGAAACUUCUUCUCGUACUCUAAUACAGUCAUCAUCCCCUGUUCCAGCUGUAAAACCUCUUGCAUCUUCAAAUUCUGGUAUGCUUGUGGGUAAUACUGACUGUCAAAUGCAGCUCUGAAGACUUGCCAUGUAAUGGCUAAAGGAUCCCGAUAUCUCCUCUUGACAGAAUCCCACCAAUGUCUGGCAUUCCUGAUCAAGAAGAAGGUGGCCAGAGUAACCCUACUGUUCUGUAGAACAGCCAUGACCUCCAUGAUCCGCUCCAUCCGUUCAAUCCACUCCUCAGCUACUGCUGGGGUACCAUCACCAUGCGGAUAAAGGUGGACUACGGUCCCCUGAAUCCUGCGAGUUGCGGCUCGGAUUGUCUUCGUGUCACUGAGACCUGCGAGUAUGUGUCACCCAUGGUGAUGCAAGGAAUUGACGGUAUAAGGAAUUGACGGCAAUAAGGGUACACCUAGAUGAUAGUUUUAAACAGUUUUCAAAUGUAUAUCAUUAUAUACAUGCAUUGAUUUCAGAAAUAAAGAAAAUAAGCUAGUUUGUAUAACUGUUUUUACAGUGGGGUUAGUAUGUUCAUAUGUUAUUUUUUAAACUUUAUUUUUGGGUCCACUCACCCUUUUUGUUGUUUUGCGCCCCCAGGCAGUAGACGUGCACAGGAAUCCACCACUGGGCCAUUUUCCAUCUUCCGCGCCUUUCUUCUGAUGUAGGAUUUUUGUUUGUAAAAGGAUUCACUCCUUUGUAAAUUCUAAGUUGACAGGACCCGAUCCAAAUUCCGCUUUGGAAUCCGAGUCAGACCCUGUGCGUGUCUGAUACCUGGCAAAUGUCGGGCACAAAGUCGCUCUGAUAUUUUGCCCUAGACUGAGAAUUGAACUGUUUGAAUGUAUAUAUACGUAUGCUGGCAGUUGGUUGUAUAUAGGCAUACUUGUUUGCAAGUGAAAAUAUUUUGGUAUUGAGCCAGUUACAAUGGAAACUCUGCCGGUUUUUCGGUAGACGUUAACCUUAUUAUUUUAUCGUGUUUUGUAUAGAAGGGCAAAUAGGUCAUAUGUGCCCGACAUUUGCCAGGUGUCGGACACGCACAGGGUCUCGUUCGGAUUCCAAAGCGGAAUUUGGAUCGG